rnacentral:rRNA from 1 species
GCUUGUACAGGUGCUGCAUGGCUGUCGUCAGCUCGUGUCGUGAGAUGUUCGGUUAAGUCCGCUAACGAGCGCAACCCUCGCUGUGUGUUACAAGUGUCACACGGAACUGCCGGUCAUAAACCGGAGGAAGGUGGGGAUGACGUCAAGUCAGCAUGGCCUUUAUAUCCUGGGCUACACACACGCUACAAUGGGAAGGGACAAUAGGUUGCGAAGCCGCGAGGCGGAGCCAAUCCAGCAAAACUUCCCUCAGUUCAGAUUGCAGGCUGCAACUCGCCUGCAUGAAGUUGGAGUUGCUAGUAAACACAGGUCAGCCAUACUGCGUUGAAUACGUUCCCGGGGCUU